GACGAACGCUGGCGGCGCGCCUAACACAUGCAAGUCGAACGAGCGAGAGGAAGCUUGCUUUCUCGAGCGAGUGGCGAACGGGUGAGUAACGCGUGAGGAACCUGCCUCAAAGAGGGGAACAACAGUUGGAAACGACUGCUAAUACCGCAUAAGCCCACGGGUCGGCAUCGACCAGAGGGAAAAGGAGCAAUCCGCUUUGAGAUGGCCUCGCGUACGAUUAGCUGGUUGGUGAGGUAACGGCCCACCAAGGCGACGAUCGGUAGCCGGACUGAGAGGUUGAACGGCCACAUUGGGACUGAGACACGGCCCAGACUCCUACGGGAGGCAGCAGUGGGGAAUAUUGCACAAUGGGGGAAACCCUGAUGCAGCGACGCCGCGUGGAGGAAGAAGGUCUUCGGAUUGUAAACUCCUGUUGUUGAGGAAGAUAAUGACGGUACUCAACAAGGAAGUGACGGCUAACUACGUGCCAGCAGCCGCAGUAA
rnacentral:rRNA from 1 species